rnacentral:misc_RNA from 1 species
GUUAUUUUGGCCGCAGCCAAAGUAGAAGUUGUGGAAAACGUCACUUGGGCUUAAAGUAAGUGUCUCUUUACCAAAGAAGCCAACGGAAAAAGAAGAGUCUCCAUAUUGGAUGCCAUAUACACAUGUUGAGGAAGCACAUUUAAGCGUAUGCCCUGUGUAGAAAUUAAUUAAAGAAGGUUUUCAAAUCAAUUAGUUUCUUUCUUUUCCAUAACUAAAGAUUAUGAGUUCGAGCUCUAAUAUGAAACAAGAAAUUAAAAAGAUGUGGAUACCUGUUGCAGAAGCGAGAGAAUCACAGAGAGAGGAGCCACAGGAUAUGUUGGUGUACGAUGUAGACUGAGAGGGAUUGAAAAUAGGGUCUUGUUGUUCAUAGCAAGACCUGACACAGGGCUCACAUUGUGUCCAUGUGAGGUCGCUUCCAGUGUCGAAGAUGAGGGAAAGGUCCCUUUUUGGUGUACCAAGUCCUACAGUCACGAUAUAAUUGGCUGCACCAAUGCUUUUGCCGUCCUUGGCCGGAAGCGUAGCUGCUGAAUCUGUCACCUUCACAUCUCUGCGACCCCACAACUUAGAUUGAAUUGAUUCGACUCUCGAUUCAUCUUGCAGAAGGAUCUCCGUGUGAUUUGGAGCCUUUCCCCCAGCUUUGCCUUGAUUUAGUUGCAAGCAUGGUCCAUGCUUGUGGACUACUUUCAAUGAUGUCUUCUUCUCUACCACUGAAAAUUAACAGAUAAACACCAACAUUCUUAACAACUUGUUUAAUGUUUGUUUGUUUAAUGCUCAUAAGUGGGCUUCUUAGCACAAGUUUUCUUUCUUGUGUUGUUGAGCCUGACCCUCUUCAGUUGUG